rnacentral:tRNA from 1 species
UAGCUCAGAGGUUAAGAGCACUGGCUGCUCUUCCAGAGGACCUGGGUUUGAUUCCCAG